UACGAAGGGGGCUAGCGUUGUUCGGAAUUACUGGGCGUAAAGCGCGCGCAGACGGUCUUCCAAGUCAGUGGUGAAAGCCCGGAGCUCAACUCCGGAACUGCCAUUGAAACUGUUGGACUUGAGUAUGAGAGAGGUGAGUGGAAUUCCCAGUGUAGAGGUGAAAUUCGUAGAUAUUGGGAAGAACACCGGUGGCGAAGGCGGCUCACUGGCUCAUUACUGACGCUCAGGCGCGACAGCGUGGGGAUCAAACAGG
rnacentral:rRNA from 1 species